UUAAGCAUAUCAAUAAGCGGAGGAAAAGAAACCAACAGGGAUUGCCCCAGUAACGGCGAGUGAAGCGGCAACAGCUCAAAUUUGAAAUCUGGCCUCGGCCCGAGUUGUAAUUUGCAGAGGAAGCUUUAGGCGCGGCACCAACUGAGUCCCCUGGAACGGGGCGCCAUAGAGGGUGAGAGCCCCGUAUAGUUGGACGCCUAGCCUGUGUAAAGCUCCUUCGACGAGUCGAGUAGUUUGGGAAUGCUGCUCAAAAUGGGAGGUAAAUUUCUUCUAAAGCUAAAUACCGGCCAGAGACCGAUAGCGCACAAGUAGAGUGAUCGAAAGAUGAAAAGCACUUUGAAAAGAGGGUUAAAUAGCACGUGAAAUUGUUGAAAGGGAAGCGCUUGUGACCAGACUUGCGCCGGGCCGAUCAUCCGGUGUUCUCACCGGUGCACUCGGCCCGGCUCAGGCCAGCAUCGGUUCUCGUGGGGGGAUAAAGGUCCCGGGAACGUAGCUCCUCCGGGAGUGUUAUAGCCCGGGGCGUAAUGCCCUCGCGGGGACCGAGGUUCGCGCAUCUGCAAGGAUGCUGGCGUAAUGGUCAUCAGCGACCCGUCUUGAAACACGGACCAAGGAGUCAAGGUUUUGCGCGAGUGUUUGGGUGUAAAACCCGCACGCGUAAUGAAAGUGAACGUAGGUGAGAGCUUCGGCGCAUCAUCGACCGAUCCUGAUGUCUUCGGAUGGAUUUGAGUAAGAGCGUUAAGCCUUGGACCCGAAAGAUGGUGAACUAUGCUUGGAUAGGGUGAAGCCAGAGGAAACUCUGGUGGAGGCUCGCAGCGGUUCUGACGUGCAAAUCGAUCGUCAAAUCUGAGCAU
rnacentral:rRNA from 1 species